rnacentral:rRNA from 1 species
AGCAGCCGCGGUAAUUCCAGCUCCAAUAGCGUAUAUUAAAGUUGUUGCAGUUAAAAAGCUCGUAGUUGAAUUUCGGGAUUAGUACGCUGGUCGUGCCUUCGGUACGUACUGGUGCUACUGAUUCCUACCUUCUGACGAACCGUCAUGUCAUUAAUUUGAUGUGGCGGGGAAUCAGGACUGUUACUUUGAAAAAUUAGAGUGUUUAAAGCAGGCUCGCGCUUGAAUACAUUAGCAUGGAAUAAUGAAAUAGGACGUUCGACCCUAUUUUGUUGGUUUCUAGGAUUGACGUAAUGAUUAAUAGGGAUAGUUGGGGGCAUUAGUAUUCAAUUGUCAGAGGUGAAAUUCUUGGAUUUAUUGAAGACUAACUACUGCGAAAGCAUUUGCCAAGGAUGUUUUCAUUAAUCAAGAACGAAAGUUAGGGGAUCGAAGACGAUCAGAUACCGUCGUAGU